GACGAACGCUGGCGGCGUGCUUAACACAUGCAAGUCGAACGAUGAAGCGGUGCUUGCACCGUGGAUUAGUGGCGAACGGGUGAGUAAUACGUGAGUGACCUACCUUUGACUCUGGGAUAAGCCUGGGAAACUGGGUCUAAUACCGGAUACGACCAAUCUCUGCAUGGGGUGUUGGUGGAAAGCGUUAUGGAGUGGUUUUAGAUGGGCUCACGGCCUAUCAGCUUGUUGGUGAGGUAAUGGCUUACCAAGGCGACGACGGGUAGCCGGCCUGAGAGGGUGACCGGCCACACUGGGACUGAGACACGGCCCAGACUCCUACGGGAGGCAGCAGUGGGGAAUAUUGCACAAUGGGCGCAAGCCUGAUGCAGCGACGCCGCGUGAGGGAUGACGGCCUUCGGGUUGUAAACCUCUGUUAGCAUCGAAGAAGCGAAAGUUGAUG
rnacentral:rRNA from 1 species